GAAUCCACUGAAUGUUCCCGUGUCCUUUUCUCCUCUUCGGAUAGUGCUGGUGCUCCCUCUUUUCCACAUAGAACAGACAAUGAAACCGAUUUACGUGAGGAAGAUCUGCUGGGGAGCCCUCUCUGCAACAAAUUCUUUAAGUGAAUGAGGGAAGUAGGACUGGGCAGAGGGAGAAGCUGCACCAUGCUGCAGUUACAACAGAAAACUCCGUUGAUCCCUUGAAGAGCUCCAGAGCUAGCAUGACUCAUCAGAGUUGACCAAAUUCACAAACUUUAUCCCACCCUCCUCUGUUAAACAAACACUGCAUUGGAGCUGCCUUUAGAGAAGAAGUGGCAUAGCUGUGAGUGAGGCAGCUUCCUUCUGCUGUGCAAUUCCCUGGAAAUGGACCCAUCUGAGAGCUGCCAAUAGCCAAUGUUCCCUGCACUGGGAAGUGAGUGUGUGGUCAUGAGGGGCAUCUGGGCUGCUGAACCCAUCAUCCUCUGCGGCAUCAUCCUCACUAUCCAGGUUCCUUCAGCAUCUAUCUUCCUAUGAAAAUGUGGAUAUACGCCUUGGACCCCAGCAAAACCAGAAUCUAGAACGAAGAUAUCUGCAUAAUCUAGGAAGCCUGGGAAGUUUCUCUCUCUGGGACAGGAGAUGAAAAGAACCCUACCUCCAGCUCAAGAUGGAAUUGGAA
rnacentral:lncRNA from 1 species